GACGAACGCUGGCGGCGUGCUUAACACAUGCAAGUCGAACGGAAAGGCCCUGCUUUUGUGGGGUGCUCGAGUGGCGAACGGGUGAGUAACACGUGAGUAACCUGCCCUUGACUUUGGGAUAACUUCAGGAAACUGGGGCUAAUACCGGAUAGGAGCUCCUGCUGCAUGGUGGGGGUUGGAAAGUUUCGGCGGUUGGGGAUGUACUCGCGGCUUAUCAGCUUGUUGGUGGGGUAGUGGCUUACCAAGGCUUUGACGGGUAGCCGGCCUGAGAGGGUGACCGGCCACAUUGGGACUGAGAUACGGCACAGACUCCUACGGGAGGCAGAAGUGGGGAAUAUUGCACAAUGGGCGGAAGCCUGAUGCAGCAACGCCGCGUGCGGGAUGACGGCCUUAGGGUUGUAAACCGAUUUCGCCUGUGACGAAGCGUGAGUGACGGUAAUGGGUAAAGAAGCACCGGCUAACUACGUG
rnacentral:rRNA from 1 species